rnacentral:rRNA from 1 species
UCGGAUUGCAGCCUGCAACUCGGCUGCAUGAAGCUGGAAUCGCUAGUAAUCGCGGAUCAGAAUGCCGCGGUGAAUACCGUUCCCGGGUCUUGUACACACCGCCCGUCACACCAUGGGAGUCGGGAAUGCCCGAAGUCAGUGACCCAACCGAAAGGGGGGAGCUGCCGAAGGCAGGCCUGGUAACUGGGGUGAAGUCGUAACAAGGUAAC